UAAAGGCUUGGUCCUGACUUUACUAUAAGCUUUAACCCAAUUUAUACAUGCAAGUAUCCGCAUCCCUGUGAGAAUGCCCUCAAUCCCCCGCCCGGGGACGAGGAGCUGGCAUCAGGCACAUACCCAUUAGCCCAAGACGCCUUGCUAAGCCACACCCCCAAGGGAAUUCAGCAGUAAUAAACAUUAAGCCAUAAGUGAAAACUUGACUUAGUUAGGGCUAAGAGGGUCGGUAAAAUUCGUGCCAGCCACCGCGGUUAUACGAAAGACCCUAGUUUAUAGGUACGGCGUAAAGGGUGGUUAGGGGACAAGCAAAAUAAAGCCAAAGACCUCCUAAGCCGUCAUACGCUCACGGAGGCACGAAGCCCAAACACGAAAGUAGCUUUACCAAACAUGCCCGACUCCACGAAAGCUGGGAAACAAACUGGGAUUAGAUACCCCACUAUG
rnacentral:rRNA from 1 species